CAGCGAGGCUCCGCCCCCUGACGUCACGCGCCCCUGCCGCGGUGCAUUGUGGGCCCGCAGAGAUGGCGGCGCUCAGUGCGGGAAGGACGGCGGCGGCGGGCCUCCUGCGAGCCCAGAGCCUCGGGCUGUGGCGGGGGCUGGGCACCGCCGCUCCCCUCCUGCAGCAAGCCCAGGCCAAGUCCCACAGUGCCAAGGCUGAGGGCACGUUCCAGGUGACGAUGCUGCCGGGGGACGGCGUGGGCCCCGAGCUCAUGCACGCCGUCAAGGAGGUCUUCAAGGCUGGCAGUGUCCCCGUGGUCUUUGACGAGCACCACCUGAGCGAGGUGCAGAACACGGCGUCCGAGGAGAAGCUCGACCGGGUCGUGGAUUCCAUGAAGGAGAGCAAGGUGGCCCUCAUUGGGAAGAUCCACACGCCCAUGGAGUACAAGGGAGACCUGGCGUCCUAUGACAUGAGGCUCAGGAGGAAGCUGGACCUCUUUGCCAACGUGGUGCACGUCAAGAGUCUGCCUGGGUACCAGACCCGGCACAACAACCUGGACCUGGUGAUCAUCAGGGAGCAGACAGAGGGCGAGUACAGCUCCCUGGAGCACGAGAGUGUCAAGGGGGUGAUUGAGUGCCUGAAGAUCAUCACCAGGGCCAAGUCCCAGCGCAUCGCCAAGUUCGCCUUCGACUACGCCACCAAGAAGGGCCGGGCCAAGGUCACAGCUGUGCACAAGGCCAACAUCAUGAAGCUGGGGGAUGGGCUGUUCCUGCAGUGCUGCAAGGAGGUGGCUGAGCUCUACCCCAAAAUCAAAUUCGACACCAUGAUCAUCGACAACUGCUGCAUGCAGCUGGUGCAGAACCCCUACCAGUUUGACGUGCUGGUGAUGCCCAACCUGUACGGGAACAUCGUGGACAACCUGGCGGCGGGUUUGGUGGGCGGCGCCGGCGUCGUGCCCGGCGAGAGCUACAGCGCCGAGUACGCCGUGUUCGAGCUGGGAGCCCGGCACCCCUUCGCCCAGGCCGUGGGCAGGAACAUCGCCAACCCCACGGCCAUGCUGCUCUCGGCCUCCAACAUGCUGCGGCACCUCAACCUGGAAUAUCACUCCAACAUGAUCUCAGAUGCUGUGAAGAAGGUGAUCAAAGGUGGAAAAGUGAGUGUGGGGUGAUGAGGAGGGAGGGCUGGUGCCGAGUUCUCUGCUUCCUCUCCUCUCUCCAGCUGGAAUUCUGGCACCUCUUUCCAGCUGGAGUUUUGGGUUCUCUUCUCUCCAGCUGGAGUUCUGGGUCCUCUUUCCAGCUGGAGUUCUGGCUCAUCUUUCCAGCUGGAAUUUUGGCUCCUCUCCUCUUUCCAGCUGGGAUUUUGGGUCCUCUACUCUUUCAUCUGGAGUUCUGGCUCCUCUACUCUCUCCAGUCCCAGGCCCACAGCUCUGUCCAGCCCCUGUGGUCACCAUGUCCUGGCGAGGGAGGGACUUCUGGCAGGGCUGGGGGAUUCUCCACAUCCCUGUCCCCGUUUGGAUCCUGGCAGGGCUCUCAGGGAUGUUCCCCAGCCCCAUUCCCAAUCCCAGGUCCUGGCAGGGCUCUCAGGGAUGUUCCCCAGCCCCAUUCCCAAUCCCAGGUCCUGGCAGGGCUCUCAGGGAUGUUCCCCAGGGAUGUUCCCCAAGUCCUGGCAGGGCUCUCAGGGAUGUUCCCCAGCCCCAGGUCCUGGCAGGGCUCUCGGGGUGGCCGUUCUCUCUCUGUCCCUGCUGUCCCAUCCCAGCUGUUCCCUCAUUCACGGCCCCUUUUCCCCGUCUCUCCCCUCCCUGUUUGGAUUUGCAGGUCCGGACUCGGGAUCUGGGCGGUUACUCCACCACCUCUGACUUCGUCAAGUCCGUCAUUGACAACCUGCACCCCCACUAUGGGGCUUAGGGCCCCCAGCAGCUCCCCAGUGCCUCAGCCCCUCCCCAAAUCCCCUCCCCAAAUCCCUCCCCAGGCAGGAGGGAGCCCCAGAACCCCCAGGAAUCCUUUCCCUACCCCAUCCCCCAGCAGGGAUCACUCCAUGGAGGGACCAGUGUGGAUUUUGGGGUUCACUGAGGUGGUGUGGGGGGAGUGGGGCAGUGCCCCAAACUCACAGGCAGCUCUUAGGGACAUUGGGACCACCCAGGGUGGUUCUGGGAACCCCAGUCCCAUGGGAUCCCUUGGGUUAUCAUUCCUGUGGGAUCAAUGGGAUUUGGGAUCCCUGUGAGAACAGGACCUUGAACUGUGGGAUCCCAAUCCCAUGGGAUCCCAUGAUUGUGGGACCCCCAUUCUCAUGGGAUUCCGUGAUUGUGGGACCCCCAUUCUCAUGGGAUCCCGUGAUUGUGGGACCCCCAUUCUUACGGGAUUGUGACUGUUGGACCAAUGGGAUUGUGGGUUCCCUGUGAGAACAGGACCUUGAAUUCUGGGGACCCCCCCCCCAUUCUUUUGGGAUCCCUGUGACUGGGACCAGCAUGGUUUGUGAGAUUCUCAUGGGACCACAACUGUGGGACCUCCAUUCCCAUGGGAUCCUCAUGAAUGUGGGAAUCCCAUUCCUAUGGGACCAGUGUGGCUGUGGGAUCUGUAACCUCAUUCCUGUGGGACCAGUGUGACUGUGGGAUCCCUGUACCCCCCUUCCCGUGGGAUCCAUCCCAUCCAGCUUUUAGCAAUAAACAGGGUGACAUCCCCACCCUCCAUCCCCUUGGCAGCUGCUGGCAGGGUCCCCAUGCAGGGACAAUUCCAGGCAUGAGGUGACCUUGGAACACUCCAAACCUGGGGCAGGGUGGGGGAGCUGCACCCUGAGCCCCCAGUCCGUGGGAAUUGGGGGGUUCCAGGGCUGAUCCCAUAAUCCCAGUGCCCUGUGGGGCUGUGCAAUGUCUCAUGCUCUGUAUUCUGCUUUGCUAAUAAAGGGUCCAGCGCUUCCCUCACA